CAGACACCUCCUUCUUCCUGUGCUGAUGGCUGAGCGCGGCUUACGACGAACUGACAACAACCUGAGCGGAUACCUGGCGGUGAUCUCGGCUCUUUACGAGGCUGCUUCAGAAAGACGUCUGCAGGACGAGAUGUAAAGGGAGGUGAACUGGAGGGAAAUGGAAGCACGUGUAGUUUGUUGUGAGUUAUGAGGAAAGACACAAGGUGUUGGUGGAGGAGCAGCAGACUGGAAAGAGAAGAGGACUUCAAGAUGAGGAGAGAAAAUACUUAAGUAGCAGGUGGAGAACCACAGGGACGCAGGCAGAAGCAGCUCAGUCGCCUCUGGGACAAAGUAGAAGACAAGCAGAGGAUGUCGGACGAACUCAGAACUGCUCAAUGAACAAAGGGACUAAAAGGGCCUGAGAGUGACGAGUUGGAGCACAUGGAACAAACAUUUGACCGAAGCUCAAGAAGACCCAGCAUCAGAAGUCGCUGUCUUCUUCCACUGUUCUGUGUGUGUCCUGUACUCAUGUUUGAAACGCUUUUUCAUUAAUUAAAAAAACCUCACUGUUCCA